AGAGUCCUGAUGUGUUCGUUGCAAUACCUGAAAUUUUGACCGAACAUUAUUCCUUCGGGAGUCCAGAGUUUCCGAGCCGCGUAAAUGCCUCCAUGUUAGAGGACUUGCUAAUGCAGGAACAGGACACCCACCUGCUGAGUGCGGGUUCAAAACGAAGGCACAUGAGGCGACGGCAUGAUUGGGACUCUU
rnacentral:other from 1 species